GGGCGUAUGGCUUAGCGGUCAGAACGUUUGGAGGGUUUCCAAGAGGCGCGGGUUCAAAUCCCGCUACGUUCA
rnacentral:tRNA from 1 species